rnacentral:rRNA from 1 species
GAUGAACGCUGGCGGCGUGCCUAAUACAUGCAAGUCGAGCGCAGCGGGGAGGGGUGCGUAACACGUGGAUAACCUCCUAUAAGACUGGGGUAACUUCGGGAAACCGGUGCUAAAACGGAUACUUAUAGAUGGCUAUGCGCUGCAUUAGCUAGUUGGUAAGGUAACGGCUUACCAAGGCAACGCGGCAUAGACGACCUGAGAGGGUGAUCGGCCACACUGGAACUGAGACACGGUCCAGACUCCUACGGGAGGCAGCAGUAGGGAAUCUUCCGCAAUGGGCGAAAGCCUGACGGAGCAACGCCGCGUGAGUGAUGAAGGUCUUCGGAUCGUAAAACUCUGUUAUUAGGGAAGCGGUACCUAAUCAGAAAGCCACGGCUAACUACGUGCCAGCAGCCGCGGUAAUUC